rnacentral:rRNA from 1 species
CAGUCGACGAACUCUGGUAUUGAUUGGUGCUUGCAUCAUGAUUUACAUUUGAGUGAGUGGCGAACUGGUGAGUAACACGUGGGAAACCUGCCCAGAAGCGGGGGAUAACACCUGGAAACAGAUGCUAAUACCGCAUAACAACUUGGACCGCAUGGUCCGAGUUUGAAAGAUGGCUUCGGCUAUCACUUUUGGAUGGUCCCGCGGCGUAUUAGCUAGAUGGUGGGGUAACGGCUCACCAUGGCAAUGAUACGUAGCCGACCUGAGAGGGUAAUCGGCCACAUUGGGACUGAGACACGGCCCAAACUCCUACGGGAGGCAGCAGUAGGGAAUCUUCCACAAUGGACGAAAGUCUGAUGGAGCAACGCCGCGUGAGUGAAGAAGGGUUUCGGCUCGUAAAACUCUGUUGUUAAAGAAGAACAUAUCUGAGAGUAACUGUUCAGGUAUUGACGGUAUUUAACCAGAAAGCCACGGCUAACUACGUGCCAGCAGCCGCGGUAAUACGUAGGUGGCAAGCGUUGUCCGGAUUUAUUGGGCGUAAAGCGAGCGCAGGCGGUUUUUUAAGUCUGAUGUGAAAGCCUUCGGCUCAACCGAAGAAGUGCAUCGGAAACUGGGAAACUUGAGUGCAGAAGAGGACAGUGGAACUCCAUGUGUAGCGGUGAAAUGCGUAGAUAUAUGGAAGAACACCAGUGGCGAAGGCGGCUGUCUGGUCUGUAACUGACGCUGAGGCUCGAAAGUAUGGGUAGCAAACAGGAUUAGAUACCCUGGUAGUCCAUACCGUAAACGAUGAAUGCUAAGUGUUGGAGGGUUUCCGCCCUUCAGUGCUGCAGCUAACGCAUUAAGCAUUCCGCCUGGGGAGUACGGCCGCAAGGCUGAAACUCAAAGGAAUUGACGGGGGCCCGCACAAGCGGUGGAGCAUGUGGUUUAAUUCGAAGCUACGCGAAGAACCUUACCAGGUCUUGACAUACUAUGCAAAUCUAAGAGAUUAGACGUUCCCUUCGGGGACAUGGAUACAGGUGGUGCAUGGUUGUCGUCAGCUCGUGUCGUGAGAUGUUGGGUUAAGUCCCGCAACGAGCGCAACCCUUAUUAUCAGUUGCCAGCAUUAAGUUGGGCACUCUGGUGAGACUGCCGGUGACAAACCGGAGGAAGGUGGGGAUGACGUCAAAUCAUCAUGCCCCUUAUGACCUGGGCUACACACGUGCUACAAUGGAUGGUACAACGAGUUGCGAACUCGCGAGAGUAAGCUAAUCUCUUAAAGCCAUUCUCAGUUCGGAUUGUAGGCUGCAACUCGCCUACAUGAAGUCGGAAUCGCUAGUAAUCGCGGAUCAGCAUGCCGCGGUGAAUACGUUCCCGGGCCUUGUACACACCGCCCGUCACACCAUGAGAGUUUGUAACACCCAAAGUCGGUGG